CGGCCGCAGCUCCCGCCUCCCGCCAUAGCGCCAGCAAAUCAGCGCGAGCGCGGCGGGAAACCGAGAGGAAACCGCCUCCUCAGGUCCCGACAGGCCACCAGCUACCUUGGAAUAUGGCUUUGAAGAGCAGAGAACACUUGUUGACCAACCUGUGAACCACCAAGAGAGAUGCUGGCACAGACACAUUGUCUUGGUAUGCUGUAUUUCUGGAUCUGAGAUCAGUCUGAGAGAACAGAUUCCCUGCUCAAGGGCAUGGUGAAUAGACCAGAUUUAUCUCUUAUUGCCACACAGGGGUGCUUGCUUCUUUCUGUGUUAUAAAUUCUUUGCUGGCUGCCGUGUCCCUCGCUCUUAUGGAGGAAGGCUGGUUUUUGCAGGUUUUUCUGCCUUUUUGGCUGAACAGGUUUUCUGAGCUCUGCUAAUGGAACAGUACAACCACCUGACAGCUCACCCUGGCACUCUGCAAGAAUUCAGUGUUCUCCUUGAUAAGGUCUGAAGGAAGAGCUUUAAAGAAAGUGUCAUAUUCAGACACUACUCCCCCCUCACACCCCAUCCCAAGAGCUCCAGCACCUCAUUAGAUGGUAAAUUUAACAGCAGGGAGGAAUAAUGGGCUUCUGAAGAUUGCCAAUGAGCAAAGAAUCUAUUUCUGAGCCCUGGUACUACCUGACAGCAUUUGAGGUCUGCAGUGAAGUGGGAGCUACCAACUCCUCGAGGCUGAGUGCAGAAAUGAGAGGUCCACGCUUUUCUGUAGAAAUUGAAAAGCUUUUUGCAAAAUAUCUGUUCAUUUCCGAGUAAGUGGUGACAACAGCAUUAUUUGUGAGGAGGUACAGAUCGAAAACACAAAUACAACUCUCAUGUUUUCGA